AUUGAACGCUGGCGGUAUGCCUUACACAUGCAAGUCGAACGGUAGAGGGGCAACCCUCGAGAGUGGCGAACGGGUGAGUAAUACAUCGGAACGUGCCCAGUCGUGGGGGAUAACGUAGCGAAAGCUACGCUAAUACCGCAUACGACCCGAGGGUGAAAGCGGGGGACCUGCAAGGGCCUCGCGCGAUUGGAGCGGCCGAUGGCAGAUUAGGUAGUUGGUGGGGUAAAGGCCCACCAAGCCUGCGAUCUGUAGCUGGUCUGAGAGGACGACCAGCCAGACUGGGACUGAGACACGGCCCAGACUCCUACGGGAGGCAGCAGUGGGGAAUUUUGGACAAUGGGCGAAAGCCUGAUCCAGCCAUACCGCGUGCGGGAAGAAGGCCUUCGGGUUGUAAACCGCUUUUGUCAGGGAAGAAAUCUUCCGGGUUAAUACCUCGGGGGGAUGACGGUACCUGAAGAAUAAGCACCGGCUAACUACGUGCCAGCAGCCGCCGUAAGAC
rnacentral:rRNA from 1 species